rnacentral:lncRNA from 1 species
AAGGGGCAAUUGCCUAUAUACCCCUGAAAAGUUCCCGAUUUUCUUAUUUACCCCUCUUAGAAGGCUAAUAUUGAAAAUACCCUUCUUAUGUUCCAAGUUCUUUCUAAUUUACCCCUGCAGUUAAAUUCCGUCAGUGAGGUGCUAACAGUUGCCGUUAUCCCUGCAAAAUUACCAUUUUGCCCAUUCCAAUNAUAUAUAUAUAUAUAUAUAUAUAUAUGGGGCAAUUUCCUAUAUACCGUUGAAAAGUUUUCGGUUUUCUUAUUUACCCCGCUUAGAAGGCUAAUAUUGAAAAUACCCUUCUUAUGUUCCAAGUUCUUUCUAAUUUACCCCUGCAGUUAAAUUCCGUCAGUGAGGUGGUAACAGUUGCCGUUAUCCCUGCAAAAUUACCAUUUUGCCCAUUCCAAUAUACCCUCGUACCAUAACUUACUUUUCUUAUAUGCCCUCCAUGUAGCUAAUACUUUUCUUAUUUGCCCUUAAAAUAUCAAAUUCGUUUCCUAUUUGCCCUCCAACGGUCAUUUCAACGGUAACCUUCUUUUCAAACAUUAUAAAAGCACAUCCAUGGCUCAAAAACAAGUUAAGCUUACUUCUCCAUCUAUUAGCUUUUUUUUUUCUCUUAUUU